rnacentral:rRNA from 1 species
UACGAAGGGGGCUAGCGUUGCUCGGAAUCACUGGGCGUAAAGCGCACGUAGGCGGCUUACUAAGUCAGGGGUGAAAUCCUGGAGCUCAACUCCAGAACUGCCUUUGAUACUGGUAAGCUCGAGUCCGGGAGAGGUGAGUGGAACUGCGAGUGUAGAGGUGAAAUUCGUAGAUAUUCGCAAGAACACCAGUGGCGAAGGCGGCUCACUGGCCCGGUACUGACGCUGAGGUGCGAAAGCCAGGGGAGCGAAUGGG